GACGAACGCUGGCGGCGUGCUUAACACAUGCAAGUCGAACGGAAAGGCCCUGCUUUUGUGGGGUGCUCGAGUGGCGAACGGGUGAGUAACACGUGAGUAACCUGCCCUUGACUUUGGGAUAACUUCAGGAAACUGGGGCUAUUACCGGAUAGGAGCUCCUGCUGCAUGGGGGGGGUUGGAAAGUUUCGGCGGUUGGGGCUGGACUCGCGGCUUAUCAGCUUGUUGGUGGGGUAGGGGCUUACCAAGGUUUUGACGGAUAGCCGGCCUGAGAGGGUGACCGGCCACAUUGGGACUGAGAUACGGCCCAGACUCCUACGGGAGGCAGCAGUGGGGAAUAUUGCACAAUGGGCGGAAGCCUGAUGCGGCAGCGCCGCGUGCGGGAUGACGGCCUUCGGGUUGUAAACCGCUUUCUCCGGUGACGAAGCGUGAGUGACGGUAAUGGGUAAAGAAGCACCGGCUAACUACGUG
rnacentral:rRNA from 1 species